AUUGAACGCUGGCGGCAUGCCUUACACAUGCAAGUCGAACGGCAGCAUGAUCUAGCUUGCUAGAUUGAUGGCGAGUGGCGAACGGGUGAGUAAUACAUCGGAACGUGCCCUGUAGUGGGGGAUAACUAGUCGAAAGAUUAGCUAAUACCGCAUACGACCUGAGGGUGAAAGUGGGGGACCGCAAGGCCUCAUGCUAUAGGAGCGGCCGAUGUCUGAUUAGCUAGUUGGUGAGGUAAAGGCUCACCAAGGCGACGAUCAGUAGCUGGUCUGAGAGGACGAUCGCCCACAGUGGGGCGGAGACAGGGCCCAGCACCCGAGGGGAGGAAGGAGGGGGGAAUUUUGGAAAAGGGGGGAAAGCCUGAACCAGAAAUGCCCGGGGUGGGAAGAAGGCCUUCGGGUGUUAAAGCCUUUUUGUCGGGAAAAAAAUGGCUUUGGUUAAUACCUGGGGUCGAGGAUGGGACGGGAAGAAAAAGGACGGGCGAACUAGGG
rnacentral:rRNA from 1 species